rnacentral:rRNA from 1 species
UACGUAGGGCGCAAGCGUUAUCCGGAAUUAUUGGGCGUAAAGAGCUCGUAGGCGGUUUGUCGCGUCGGGAGUGAAAACACUGGGCUUAACUCAGUGCUUGCUUCCGAUACGGGCAGACUAGAGGUAUGCAGGGGAGAACGGAAUUCCUGGUGUAGCGGUGAAAUGCGCAGAUAUCAGGAGGAACACCGGUGGCGAAGGCGGUUCUCUGGGCAUUACCUGACGCUGAGGAGCGAAAGUGUGGGGAGCGAACAGG